UACGUAGGGCGCAAGCGUUGUCCGGAAUUAUUGGGCGUAAAGAGCUCGUAGGCGGCUUGUCACGUCGGAUGUGAAAGCCCGGGGCUUAACCCCGGGUCUGCAUUCGAUACGGGCAGGCUAGAGUUCGGUAGGGGAGAUCGGAAUUCCUGGUGUAGCGGUGAAAUGCGCAGAUAUCAGGAGGAACACCGGUGGCGAAGGCGGAUCUCUGGGCCGAUACUGACGCUGAGGCGCGAAAGCGUGGGGAGCAAAUAGG
rnacentral:rRNA from 1 species